CAUAUGUGCUGUGACUGACGGAACAAAGUGGAACAACCACGGGGGAACAGCGCAUUCCAUAGUAUGCCGACCGUCUGGGCAAGCCGA
rnacentral:ncRNA from 2 species